GCAGUGGUGGCUCAAUGGUUAAGGCUCUGGGUUACUGAUCAGAAAAAAACCCCAGUGCCGCCAAGCUGCCACUGCU